rnacentral:lncRNA from 1 species
UAAAAUAUCCCCUUGAAGAUCAAAUUUGAAUUCUUUUAAAAUGUGAUUUCAUUUUAACGAAGAAAUUCAAGAGUAAUUGGAGAUUGCUACUUGUUGUGUUAUAAAUUGUAUUUUGAAUCGAAUGGCUUGUGACAAUAUUUGCAUGAAUGGCUGAAUUGGUAUUUGUGUUGAAAUAUAUGAACUGUGUAUUUAGCCUUGAGAGGCUGGAUUGUGAAAUAAUUGCCAUGUCAUGCUAUUGCAAAUUUUAUUGUAUGGUGGGUUUAGCUUGCUGCAGUGGGC